rnacentral:rRNA from 1 species
AUACGUAGGGUGCGAGCGUUGUCCGGAAUGAUUGGGCGUAAAGGGCGCGUAGGCGGCGCGGUAAGUCUGGAGUGAAAGUCCUGCUUUCAAGGUGGGAAUUGCUUUGGAGACUGGAUGGCUUGAGUGCGGAAGAGGUAAGUGGAAUUCCCAGUGUAGCGGUGAAAUGCGUAGAGAUUGGGAGGAACACCAGAGGCGAAGGCGGCUUACUGGGCCGUAACUGACGCUGAGGCGCGAAAGCGUGGGGAGCGAACAGGAUUAGAUACCCUGGUAGUCCACGCGGUAAACGAGGAAUGCCAGGUGUUGCGGGUAUCGACCCCUGCAGUGCUGGAGUAAACACAAUAAGCAUUCCGCCUGGGGAGUAUGGCCGCAAGGUUGAAACUCAAAGGAAUUGACGGGG